UUGGAUUUUAUGUAGAUUAAUUAUCUAAAAUCAUAUAAAACUUUACAAUUAUUAUAAGAUAGUACUUGAAUAUAAAUAGUAGUUUAUUUUUAUUAAAAUAUAUAAAAUUAUAAUUAACCUUUAAUACAUAUACACAAUAAGAUCAAAAUAGUAACUAGUAAUGGUUUUCAACACAUUUGUUGUUCAAUGUUUUUUCAGUUAAAACAUACAAGCUGAAUUCAAAAUUUUGAUUUUUGAUUACAAAUUAUAAAGUACUUGUAUCAAAUGUCUUCAAAGCAUUAAAAAUACUACCUCUAUGCUUGAUUUGUUUAAGUUCUUAUUGGUUAUA
rnacentral:lncRNA from 1 species